AGAGAGAAAGAAUAUUAAAUGAAAAGUGAUCCUAAUACUCUCCAAUAUGUAUCAUCUGAAAUUUAAAUCUGAAAAUCUUUAUGAUACACCUUGAGGCUUGUUAUUUGGUUAAUAUAUCUUAUACAUAAAUCAUGAACCAAAUUGCAAUUCAAACAGUUGAUCUUAAGAGCCUCUAACUUAAUGAAAAAGGGGGAGAAUAAUGUUGAAUUUUCUUGAGUAUCUCUUGUGAACAAUAUUUUAAAAGUAGCUGCUACAUAUGAUAGAUUUAUAGUUUUUAAAAUCAGAAAAUCAGCUGUUUUGAAAAUUAUUUUUUUUAAAAAAUAUAUUCAUCUGUCUCUAUUAGAAAAUCUAUUUUGGAAUUCACUAAUGAGUUCUUAUUGGCUUGCUCUUUAGAGUUUCAAUCCUGUGCCAAUUUAUUUUUAUAUUAAAAUGUGUUUCUCUCUAAAGGAAUAAAGUCUUUAAAAGAGCUUUAAUAGAACCUUCAAAGCUUUGAAUUUUAUGUAUNNNNNNNNNNNNNNNNNNNNNNNNNNNNNNNNAUAUUUUGGUAUUUGUGCCCCAAUGCUCUUAUUAUCAUAAAAGAACUUUGAAGUCAUUAAGAAUUAAUGAUCCAACAUGAUGAUAUGUUUUUCAAGUAUAUAAGUUUUGAUCUUAUACUCUGAAAAUUAAUUAAAUUGCUCUCAUGUGGAUAAAAUACUUAAUAUAUUGGGCAAAAGAUCUUAAAUGAACAAGCUUUCAUACUUAUUAUUGAAGAGAGGUUAGAUUUCCAUUCGUGCUUUCCUUGAAUAUCAUUUGUGGUACUUCUUGANN
rnacentral:lncRNA from 1 species